rnacentral:rRNA from 1 species
UACGAAGGGGGCUAGCGUUGCUCGGAAUCACUGGGCGUAAAGCGCACGUAGGCGGAUUGCUAAGUCAGGGGUGAAAUCCUGGAGCUCAACUCCAGAACUGCCCUUGAUACUGGCGGUCUCGAGUCCGGGAGAGGUGAGUGGAACUGCGAGUGUAGAGGUGGAAUUCGUAGAUAUUCGCAAGAACACCAGUGGCGAAGGCGGCUCACUGGCCCGGUACUGACGCUGAGGUGCGAAAGCGUGGGGAGCAAACAGG